UACGUAGGGGGCAAGCGUUGUCCGGAAUCAUUGGGCGUAAAGAGCGCGUAGGCGGUCCGGUAAGUCCGCUCUGAAAGUCCGGGGCUCAACCCCGGGAGGCGGGCGGAUACUGUCGGGCUAGAGUCCGGAAGAGGCGAGUGGAAUUCCUGGUGUAGCGGUGAAAUGCGCAGAUAUCAGGAGGAACACCAAUGGCGAAGGCAGCUCGCUGGGACGGUACUGACGCUGAGGCGUGAAAGCGUGGGGAGCAAACAGG
rnacentral:rRNA from 1 species